UACAUCCGAGCCAAUUUUGAA
rnacentral:piRNA from 1 species